UUUUUUUUUGCUGCCCCCCUACACAAAUGCUCUCGUAGGCCCCUGAAAGGCUGUAUUUCAUUAAGUAUGCUUCAUUUACUUUUCAGAUAAAAUGGCAGAGAUUAUGAAGAAAGAAUUAGAUAUCAAGGACUUUGAGAUGACAUCUACUGUAGAGAAUACAUGUUUUAUUGAUAUACCUGAAGAUGAAAUUAAGAUGGAAAAUAUAGAAGUAAAAGAUGAAAACUCAGAUUAUGAAUUGGACCCUCUACAAUCUGAACCAAAGAGAAUCAGGAAGAGUCAACACAGAUAUUCAUGUUCUCAAUUCAAAUAUUUUGCAUUAACAACAAGGAAUCUGAAGAUCCAUGUAGAUAGUAAGCACGAAGGAGGAUAUCCUUGCCCAGAAUGUGAUUUUGCUGCAACUACAGCUGUUAUCCUGAAGACUCAUGUUGAAAGUAUACACGAAGGAGUGUAGGGUUUCCAACGUGACUAGAUAGAAUGGCAGUUGGUUAAACUGAGUGAGGAAGACGACUUUCGGGAGCGCCCCUGCAGAUUACCUUUCUUUGUACUCUGCUCUACUGUACGCGGCCCUCGCCCACCACAUGUUCUACUCUUGCCCGGUUCUACUUCUCUCUCUCCCUACCUGUCUGUGAGCCAGUCUCUAUUCUAACCUUGGCGUGAACACACCUUCUCCCUCUACUAGCUUCUCCCUAUAAGAUUAGGACAGUUACGUUUUUUCUUAUUUCUAUUAAAUCUUCAACCUUUCCCAAUACAAUUUCUUUUUGCUCAUUUCCAAUGGCAUAAUCCUCUGCUAAUUUCCUUAACUCACUUAAUUUUGCUUUCUAUCUUUAUCUUGUUUUCUUAGUUUUCUUUAUUACCCAUUUACCUUAUAUAAGUUGGGACUAAAUAAGUCAAUUUCUUUUUCUUGGAAACUUUUAUACUCAUAUACCUUUCUCAAAAUAGUUUUUAUUUUUCUAUAUUUCUUUUCUUAUUCAGAUUUCAUUACUCCUUAUAUCGUACUUCCUUUUUCAAGCAUU